rnacentral:tRNA from 1 species
GUAGAGAAGACGAAUGGUAAGUCAUCGGGCUCAUGCCCCGAAGAAGGAGGUUCAAUUCCCCCCUCUACA